AUGUACCUUAGCUGCGUCCACAGGGAGGUGUCCAAAAGCUACCGGUAUAAAAAUAACUUAAGGGCCAAGAGUCGCGUAGCUUCCGCGGAGGCGGCGGCGGCGGCGGCGGCGGCGGCCGCGGGGCCUGAGGUAUCGGUCGUUGGGGAGCCCGCGCGGGCCGGCGGGUCACCGGCAGUCGGCGGCCGCGGCGGGCGGCAGGAAGGGCGGGCUGGGCAGCUGCUUGAAGAACUGCCGCAGGCCGGCCAGGUCCCGCGUGAGCUGCUCCACGCGCUGCUGCAGCUUCUCGUUCUCGGCCGACAGCUCCACCAGCUUCUGCUGCAUCUCCUGGUUGCGCCGCUUGGCCUUGUCGCGGCUCUUGCGCACCGCGAUGUUGUUGCGCUCGCGCCGCUGCCGGUACUCGGGGCUGCCGCGGUCCGGGCCCCGCUUGCCCGCAGUCUUGUCCCGGGCGGCGCCGGCGGGGCUGGGCCCGGGGCUGCCGCGGGGCGGCUCGGGCGACGUGGGCGGCGUGGGCUGCGCGGCCGCCAGGCUCACUACCGUCUGCGCGCACGCGGCCACCUGCGCUGGCAGCAGCGAGCCGGCCGCGUCGCCGUCCCCCGCGCCCCAGUCGGGCUCGCGCUUGAGCGGCCGCGGGGCAGCGGGGCCCGGGCCCUGGGCGCGCGCGGGGCCGCCGGGCAGCAGCUCCAGGCCGCCCGCGCCCGCCGCGCCCGCCGCGCCCGCCGCGCCCCCCGCGGCCCCCGCGCCCGCCUUGUGGUUGCUGUUGAACAGGUCGGCGAAGAGCUCGUCGUGGCACAGCUCCAGGGUGGGCACGGCGGCCAUGGAGUCGAUGUAGGCGCUGAAGUCGAUGGCGCUCUCGUCGUCGUACAUGGCGGGGCCCGCGGCGCCCGGCUCCGCCGCGCCCCCCGCCUCGCUCCCGCGGCCCGGCUUCCCCGCGCGGCCCGCCUCGUAGAAGGCCGCGGGCUCCGCGGGCCAGGACACGCCGCGCGCCGGGCCGUCCAGGCUGAAGAGCGCGGCGCUCAUGGCGGCGUCGGGCCGAGCUCCCCGGGCGAGCGCGCCUGUCGGCUCCCGCGCCGGCCCCGCCGCCUUUUCUACCCCGGCUGA
rnacentral:lncRNA from 1 species